CACACACACACACGGUCUGAGGGUGCAGAACAGGAAGUGGCGAGCAGGACUAAUGAGCUUCCUGCCUUAUCACGGCAGGGAGGAGACGUUUCCUCUUCUGUCCAGCGGCUUUGGGAUACACGUCUAGCCCCGCCCACUUCCUUGCUGGACGCCACUUCCUUCCUGAAAGUCAAGUCCUUCAAGGAUCGUCCAGGUGAUGUUGGUCUUCUUCUGACCGCCAAAUCCUCAUCAUCAUGAUCCUGCUACCAAGCCUCCCACCAUUGUUAAAGGAAGCCCAGGCUUCGCUACCCUCCUUGAACUCUAUCAUCUUCGACAACGGCACCGCAGGCGACCUCGUCCACGGACUAGUGGACAGAAUUCCCUUGUCUUCAUGGGCCGUCAAACUGGUGGCGGGUCUGUCCGUGGUUGUGGUGCUGGGGCUGGUGGUCUGCGUGUGCGUCUGCUGCUGCAGAGGCCGCUGGAAGAAGAGACGCAAGAAGAAGCUGGACGAACACGUCAAACUGGCAUCGCUGAGCGGGCAAACCUCCGCCACGCUGGUUCAACCCGGCGCAGACGGGACUUCUAGCGCCGAGAAUCAGCGGCGAGGGAAGCUGCUCUACUCUCUGGAGUUCAACGCUGCCCUCUCCCAGCUGACGGUGGGCGUCAAACAAGCCAGCAGCCUGAAGGCCAUGGACGCCGGAGGAAGCUCUGACCCGUACGUGAAGGUCUACCUCCUCCCCGACAAGACCAAGACCUGCGAGACCAAAGUGCUGAAGAACAGGCUGGACGCCGUCUUCAACGAGCACUUCGACUUCCAGGUCUCCAAGGCGACGCUGCUCAAGUCCACGGCGGUCUUGCAGGUGUUCGACUUCGACAGGUUCUCCAAGCACGACAUUAUCGGCGAGCUCAGGCUGGAACUGGGCCAGGUGGACUGGAACCACGUCAUCGAGGAGUGGCGAGAGCUGGAGGAGCCAACCACGAUGGAGGAGGAGAACCUCGGAGACAUCUGCUUCUCGCUGCGCUUCGUCCCCACCUCCAGCAAACUGACCGUGGUCAUCCUGGAGGCCAAGAACCUCAAAAGCACCGACUUGGACGGCAGUUCAGAUCCCUACGUGAAGGUGCAGCUGGCCCUGGACAAGAGGAAGUGGAAGAAGAAGAAGACGACGGUGAAGAACAACACCUUGAACCCGUACUACAACGAAGCCUUCACCUUCAAAGUCAGCCUGGAGCAAAUACGGCGUGUCAACUUGGUCAUUUCUGUGUGGGACCACGACCCCGUGACGCCCAACGACCCGACGGGGAAGAUCUUCCUGGGCAACGACUCGGCGGGCAACCAGCUGAGGCACUGGGCCGACAUGCUAUCCAACCCGCGGCGCCCGGUGGCACAGUGGCACACGCUGCUGUCGCCCCAGCAGGUCAACGCCAGCCUGACCCUGAAGAAGAAGAUCCCUCUGGUGAAGAAGAUGCCCUUCUGAGACCGCUCCUUUUGAAAGGUCUUCCUCUUCAGUGUUUGCACAAGUGCAUGUUGAGUUCACAGUUUGGGCGUCGUUGCCUCCCAGGUGAGGUGGAAACAAUCAAGCUGAGCUGGCGUGUCUUUUCAUGCCGCUUCAGGCCUCCUGAGAGGAGCCUGAUCACACCUUUCAACCGCACACAAUGAUGCCAGUGGCCUGCAGGGGGAGACACACAGUUUUUAUAUGUCAUAUUAUGCAAAAAUGUGUGGUGGGUGUGUGUAUAUAUAUAUUUUUAACCAAAAUAAUUGUCAUCAAGAGAAUAGAAGGGUUGGAUAAAAGUCAAUAACUAUAAACAAAAACCCAUAAAAAAAAUAAUACAAUCUUAUAAUCGACUGAUAGAUCUGACAAUGAUCUAGAGAUUUCAGUGCUGAAAGUUACAAAAAAAAAAAAAAUUGUAUGACUUAUUUUAACACUUUUAUGAGUGGGAUUCUUUUGGAUCCCUAAGAAUUUUAGUGGUACUUUUCUUUAAAACUGUCAUUGCUCAAAAAAUAUUAAUGAAUCAAAAUCAACAUUGUUAUGCAUUAUUGACAUAUUUAAAACUUUAAUUACUUCACAUCAAAUAUUCCACUUGGAGAUA